rnacentral:rRNA from 1 species
AGAGUUUGAUCAUGGCUCAGGACGAACGCUGGCGGCGUGCCUAACACAUGCAAGUCGAGCGAGGACUUCGGUCCUAGCGGCGGACGGGUGAGUAACACGUGGGUAACCUGCCUCAAAGAGGGGGAUAGCCUCCCGAAAGGGAGAUUAAUACCGCAUAAUAUUAAACUUUCGCAUGAGAGUUUAAUUAAAGGAGCAAUCCGCUUUGAGAUGGACCCGCGGCGCAUUAGCUAGUUGGUGAGGUAACGGCUCACCAAGGCCACGAUGCGUAGCCGACCUGAGAGGGUGAUCGGCCACAUUGGAACUGAGACACGGUCCAGACUCCUACGGGAGGCAGCAGUGGGGAAUAUUGCACAAUGGGCGAAAGCCUGAUGCAGCAACGCCGCGUGAGUGAUGAAGGCCUUCGGGUUGUAAAGCUCUGUCUUUGGGGACGAUUAUGACGGUACCCAAGGAGGAAGCCACGGCUAACUACGUGCCAGCAGCCGCGGUAAUACGUAGGUGGCAAGCGUUGUCCGGAUUUACUGGGCGUAAAGGAUGCGUAGGCGGAUAUUUAAGUCAGAUGUGAAAUACCCGGGCUUAACUUGGGUGCUGCAUUUGAAACUGGAUAUCUAGAGUGCGGGAGAGGAAAGUGGAAUUCCUAGUGUAGCGGUGAAAUGCGUAGAGAUUAGGAAGAACACCAGUGGCGAAGGCGACUUUCUGGACCGUAACUGACGCUGAGGCAUGAAAGCGUGGGGAGCAAACAGGAUUAGAUACCCUGGUAGUCCACGCCGUAAACGAUGGGUACUAGGUGUAGGGGGUAUCGACUCCCUCUGUGCCGCAGUUAACACAAUAAGUACCCCGCCUGGGGAGUACGGUCGCAAGAUUAAAACUCAAAGGAAUUGACGG